AUAAUGAUGAUUAUGGUGGUUUACUUCUGAACAAUGUUUCAUUUCCUCUUGCAACAUAACUAGCUGCAGCUUUAACUCAGCCAUGAGACAAAUGGAAACUAGGCACCACCGCACAGAGCUGUCAAUGUUAUGAAACCAGAACAUAUGUUUGGCAUGAGUUAAAUAGUGCAGUGAGUAAUAAUGCAGUCAUUUACAUAUCCCAUAAGUGUCUUCCUCUUUUAUAUAUCAUUGAUGGAGGACACUCCUUCAAGCGAAACAGGUUUUAGUUGGAAGAACAGUUUUUCAAAAGCUCCCAGACAGAGCAUAUACAGCCUUAUUUGACUCGGGAAUAGGACAAUGAACAACAUUUGGCACAGUAAGAAACUUACUCAAGGAUUCAUGUCAACAAGACUUUAAGUUUGGAAAAGAGAACCACCCCAAGACCCAGAGUGAGGAACAGCAUGAGAAGAAUCAAGAUGCCCCCCUCUGAGGAUCAGAAUCAUAACAAUUGCCAUCCUCACCAACCUCUAACGAUCCCACAACAAUGUAAAGAAGACCAAUCUGGCACCAAGACAGAGGUGUAUUAUGAAAUGGAACAUUACAGCCUUAAUUCAGAACAACCACAUGGAAUCAACUGUGCCUGUAAAUAGCACGGUGGUCCCAUUUCAGGCUGGGGUGGCGGGUGUGGAUACACAUCCUCAUCUAGGCUUCAUCUCAAUAGGAUCAUCUCCAGACUGUGUUCAGGCAGCUCUACCCCAUACCGAUGACUCUUCCUCACAGCAUUCACCUCAACACCAGCUUCUUCAAUGAUGCAGUCAUAACAUCAGGUAUGAAAAGCUCCAGUAGCCUUGGAAGAAGAGAUUAAGUGAAGGAAGAGGCUUCUUUUGAAAACAUUUCUGCUGCUAUUUUCUGCUGCUUUUAAGAUGUAUGUAUGUAUGUAUGUAUGUAUGUGUGUGUGUGUGUGUU